AGAGUUUGAUCCUGGCUCAGGACGAACGCUGGCGGCGUGCCUAACACAUGCAAGUCGAGCGAUGAAGCCCUUCGGGGUGGAUUAGCGGCGGACGGGUGAGUAACACGUGGGUAACCUGCCUCAAAGAGGGGGAUAGCCUCCCGAAAGGGAGAUUAAUACCGCAUAACAUUAGUUUUUCGCAUGGAGAACUAAUUAAAGGAGUAAUCCGCUUUGAGAUGGACCCGCGGCGCAUUAGCUAGUUGGUGAGGUAAAGGCUCACCAAGGCGACGAUGCGUAGCCGACCUGAGAGGGUGAUCGGCCACAUUGGAACUGAGACACGGUCCAGACUCCUACGGGAGGCAGCAGUGGGGAAUAUUGCACAAUGGGCGAAAGCCUGAUGCAGCAACGCCGCGUGAGUGAUGAAGGCCUUCGGGUUGUAAAGCUCUGUCUUUGGGGACGAUAAUGACGGUACCCAAGGAGGAAGCCACGGCUAACUACGUGCCAGCAGCCGCGGUAAUACGUAGGUGGCAAGCGUUGUCCGGAUUUACUGGGCGUAAAGGAUGCGUAGGCGGAUAUUUAAGUGAGAUGUGAAAUUCCCGGGCUUAACUUGGGAGCUGCAUUUCAAACUGGAUAUCUAGAGUGCGGGAGAGGAGAAUGGAAUUCCUAGUGUAGCGGUGAAAUGCGUAGAGAUUAGGAAGAACACCAGUGGCGAAGGCGAUUCUCUGGACCGUAACUGACGCUGAGGCAUGAAAGCGUGGGUAGCAAACAGGAUUAGAUACCCUGGUAGUCCACGCCGUAAACGAUGAGUACUAGGUGUAGGAGGUAUCGACUCCUUCUGUGCCGCAGUUAACACAAUAAGUACUCCGCCUGGGAAGUACGAUCGCAAGAUUAAAACUCAAAGGAAUUGACGG
rnacentral:rRNA from 1 species